rnacentral:lncRNA from 1 species
GCGGGUCUUUGGUUCUAUUGGGUACCACAAUCGACACCGAGCGUCCCGAUGCUAUUUAUAGAACUACGUCGGCGCCCUAGACAGUAGACAUUUACAACAACAGAGCUUUGGGGAACCACAUAAUCUCCUCCAAAAGGGAAUCUACAAGGGAUGGUGGUAGGUGCCCAACAAAAAGUAGGAGGGUGGCCAAGUAACAAUUCCGCUAUAGCAAGUAGCUAUGCCUAUCGUUCACUCAAAGGCAAUGGAGCAAAAUGAGAGUGAGGGGUCCACCAAUCAGACGUUCGUGGACCAACUCAAAGGAGGAGAUCACUGUCGCAAGGGCGUUUGAGGAAUUUCUUAUGGAAAAACCUUGCUGCCUCUUCUGCAACUUGAAAAUUUGAUCCGCAAACAUCCAUCUCUCUAGGGUUAAACGGGCCCUAGAAUCAAGGUGUACAUAGACAACAAACACAAGAACCUAUGAACGGAUCAUAAAGUCUGAUAAAGUUUGUUAUAUACAGACCCAGUCAGACCUAAAAUUGGAGGAUACUGAGCUGAUUUGUACGCUAUUUUCAGGAUUCUUAUAUGAUACGAGAGAGCAUGGUGUUUGAUUUUUGGCCUUCACACGUUGGCUGAAAAGUAGAAGUAUCAUCAAUUUGUUGUUUCCUCAUUCCAGUUGCAGGAAAGAGAGUCUCAGCAAUUUGGCUAUGCAACAAGAGAGAGCAACGCGGAUCCUACGAUUUGAGAAAGUUGUCGACGAUAGAUUACCAAAGCUUUUAGCGAUAGCUUAAUUUUAUCAACGGAUUUCCGUUCUAGGAUUCAAACAUGUAUAAGAAUCGCGGAUACCAUUGGAAAAAAAUUUGUGAUUGUGCUCGCAAAAUGACAAAAAUUCUCGGACCGUAGCCUUCAUUUCUAUUCGAUUUCAAACUUGAAAAUAGACUUACAAUUGGUUUUAUGCCUGGUGUUUUAAUGUAUUUUGAGAUCUAAGAUCUAAGGAUACGCCUGCUCAAACUAUAAAAAAAAUAUAUGUCACUGUGCUCGUCAAAUCGCAAAAAUUCUAAUGGCAUAGGUUUUUUUCGACUUGAAGGUUGAAAUGAAGUUUGAAAUUUGUAAUUUUGGAUGUCUCCAUAUAUUUUUGUAGCUUUGAUCGAUGCUUUGAUGAAAUAAAGACAAUGAAGCUCAAAA